rnacentral:rRNA from 1 species
AGGGGGACCUUCGGGCCUCUCGCGUCAGGAUAUGCCUAGGUGGGAUUAGCUAGUUGGUGAGGUAAGGGCUCACCAAGGCGACGAUCCCUAGCUGGUCUGAGAGGAUGAUCAGCCACACUGGAACUGAGACACGGUCCAGACUCCUACGGGAGGCAGCAGUGGGGAAUAUUGCACAAUGGGCGCAAGCCUGAUGCAGCCAUGCCGCGUGUGUGAAGAAGGCCUUCGGGUUGUAAAGCACUUUCAGUCGUGAGGAAGGUAGUGUAGUUAAUAGCUGCAUUAUUUGACGUUAGCGACAGAAGAAGCACCGGCUAACUCCGUG